AGGUAAUGUAAAAACUAAUGCUGUGCCAAAUACUGCAACAAACAGUGGAUUAUAAAUGAACCCUUUGGUAUGUUUUUUUCUGACACGCUCUGCUAGCCCUUCUCCCCAGAAGGCUCUACUCUGUGGCUGGGAACAUGCUGGUACCAGGGUUUCUUACUGACACUUCUCCUCUUGGAUUUUCAUUUACUGUAUGCCUCCGAACAAUAAUACCCUUCAAUAAAUUAGGUGAAACUAAUGGCAAAGAUAUCGAAGAACAAUGAAAAUACUUUUGACCUGCCUGUAAAAUGACAGUAGAUAAUAAUCUUUACAAUUAACACUCAUAGAAAAGAUGUUCAACUCUUCACCAAAAGACAUUACUUAAUUUCUGGUUCAGACUUAUGCAGAGAACAGCUAAAUGCAAACCACCUGCUUAUAAUAAAUAAAUCCGUGUACAUUAGCAUGGAAGUUUUGAAUAUGAACAAACGGAAAAAGGAGAAGUUGCUACAGGACUAAAGUUGGAGUCACGUGGUUUCAAAGUUUGUGGAAAGUUUUUUUUUCUUUUUUUUAUGCUCUGUGUGUGUGUCAAGCUUUUAGAUGUGAGUCCUUCAAAGUUGUCAGACUACGUUUCCCUCCAGCUGGUUUGGAGCUGAUUUUCCAACUUCAUUUACAAAAAGCAAUAACAUUUCUGAAUGGGGCAGUGUGGAGAAAUCCUAAGAGAAAUAGCAUAAGAGCAUUUUGGAAUAUAUCCCGGAAAAGAUAA
rnacentral:lncRNA from 1 species